rnacentral:rRNA from 1 species
CCUGGCGGCCAUAGCGGUUUGGUACCACCCGAUCCCUUCUCGAACUCGGAAGUGAAACGAACCCGCGCCGAUGGUAGUGUGCAUCCGCAUGCGAGAGUAGGUCACUGCCAGGGCCUUACACCUCAAAACGCCAUCCCGAUAGGGAUGGCGUUUUGUUUU